rnacentral:rRNA from 1 species
CUACGGGUGGCUGCAGUGAGGAAUAUUGGUCAAUGGGCGCAAGCCUGAACCAGCCAUCCCGCGUGAAGGAAGAAUGUCCUAUGGAUUGUAAACUUCUUUUGUGCACCAAGAAUGGUUACUACGUGUAGUGAUUUGACGGUAGUGCAUGAAUAAGCAUCGGCUAACUCCGUGCCAGCAGCCGCGGUAAUACGGAGGAUGCAAGCGUUAUCCGGAUUUAUUGGGUUUAAAGGGUACGUAGGUGGCCUGAUAAGUCAGUGGUGAAAUCCUGCGGCUUAACCGUAGAACAGCCAUUGAUACUGUUGGGCUUGAGUACAGUUGAGGUAGGCGGAAUGUGUAGUGUAGCGGUGAAAUGCUUAGAUAUUACACAGAACUCCAAUUGCGAAGGCAGCUUACUAAACUGACACUGACGCUGAGGUACGAAAGCGUGGGGAGCGAACAGGAUUAGAUACCCCAGUAGUC